UACGGGGGGGGCAAGCGUUGUUCGGAAUUACUGGGCGUAAAGGGCCAGUAGGCGGCCAACUAAGUCCGACGUGAAAUCCCAAGGCUUAACCUUGGAGCUGCGUCAGAUACUGGAUGGCUUGAAUUCGGGAGAGGGAUGCAGAAUUCCAGGUGUAGCGGUGAAAUGCGUAGAUAUCUGGAGGAAUACCGGUGGCGAAGGCGGCAUCCUGGACCGACAUUGACGCUGAACGGCGAAAGCUAGGGGAGCAAACGGG
rnacentral:rRNA from 1 species